ACCCAGAGGCUGCUUCCAAAACUGCUGUGCUCGAGUGUGAGAGAGGCUCGUGGAAUUGCAGGUGUAGCGGUGAAAUGCGUAGAUAUCUGCAGGAACACCCGUGGCGAAAGCGGCGAGCUGGAUCACUACUGACGCUGAGGAACGAAAGCUAGGGGAGCAAACAGGAUUAGAUACCCUGGUAGUCCUAGCCCUAAACGAUCAGGACUUGGGGUGCCGCCCGUUCGGGCGUCGUCCCGGAGCUAACGCGUUAAGUCCUGCACCUGGGGAGUACGGUCGCAAGACUGAAACUCAAAGGAAUUGACGGGGGCCCGCACAAGCGGUGGAACAUGUGGUUCAAUUCGACGCUACGCGAGGAACCUUACCUGGGCUCGAAAUGCUAGUGACCAGCUGUAGAAAUACGGCCUUCCCGC
rnacentral:rRNA from 1 species